rnacentral:lncRNA from 1 species
GAUAAAGCUUUUCUUCCUGUCCCUGUGGCACGCAAGUUCCAAAAUGUUAUCGGCUUCUCAGAGUGUUUUCUAUGCCCUCUGUCCGCACUUUGCAAAAAGCCAUCCAGGCUGUUGAACUUCAAAACUGGUUUCAAUAACACUGUUUUAAGCCACCAUGAAAGAAGGCCAUGGAGACCACCAAGCCCAUCGACAAGCUGUGUGCCAUCAUCACUAGACGAGAUGUUCAAAAAGAAGCAUUGCACUAUGACGAAGCUGCUGACAGGGUUGAGGGCUUUGAGGACUUCGGCAGAGGUCAGCGCACCCCUUAUGUGGCCAACUACGCCUCUGCUUUUAUGGUAAGAGGCCUGUUCACAAAGUGGAAGCAGCUCUUUGGCUACUGUUUUACUAGUGGGCCCAUACCACACACGCGACUCCAUUCAAUGCUUGUUGAUGGAAUCCGCGAACUGAGGAAAGCAGGAAUGGAGUGCUUGGUGUUUAUAUGUGACCAGGGUGCUGGGAACCGUGCCAUGCUUACUCGCCUUGGAGUGACCAAGGAACAGCCAUUCUUCAGUGUUGAUGGCAUCAGAGUGUUUUGCCUUUGGGAUCCACCUCACCUCAUAAAAAACAUCCGGAACAAUUGGCGUCAUCGUGGCUUCACCCUGGAUGGUGAUGAAAUUACCUGGGGAAUUUUGGAGGAUCUCUACACUUAUGACAGUAGGCAAGAAAUACGUUUGUGCUGUCAUCUUACCAAGAAGCAUGUCCAUCUUCCUCCAUUUGCUUCCAUGCGGGUAAGGUUCGCCACACAGGUCCUGAGUCACUCAGUUGCUGUUGGGAUCAAGACUCUGGCAGACAUUAAGGGUCUUACAGGCCAACGUCAGCAAAACUAUCUUGCAGCUGCCCGUUUCUGUGAAAACUUCAAUGGCCUCUUUGACUGCUUCAAUUCCAAACUGCUCAAGGAUUCUCAGAAGUUGAAAUGUGCAAUCUCAGAUGCAUCUUCACAUUUUGCAUUUCUGGACAAAUGCAUGGAGUGGCUCCCACGCCUGAGGCUUGUUGGUGGUAAAUGUAACAAGAAGCAGAUUCCAUGUGUGGAGGGGUGGCAACACAACAUCGUGUGUCUGAAAAUGCUGUGGUCUGACCUUCGGCAACGUCAUCCAGUGUCCUUCCUCUUAACAAAUCGUCUUAAUCUAGACUGCCUCGAAAAUUCCUACUCAAGUAUCAGAGCCCGUGGGGGGAAUCGUGACAACCCAGACUCCGUUCAGUUUGAAUGUGAAUACCGAGCUGUGGCCACAGGAUUGAUGUUCAGCAACUCCGAAAAGACCAAUUGUGAACAAGACCUUGACAUGUUUCUGCUGCAGUUCAGUGCAUAUGCCUCUCAAGAGAGUCCCCUGGUCAACGUUGACCCUGAGAGCAUUAUGGAAGAACAUGGCUACUGUAGAGUGGCCACUGAUUGUGGUGAGUAAUUAUUAAUUAUGUUGAAUAUGUUUUGCUUUCCAAUAGGGCUGGGUGAUAUGGGCAAAAAAAAUUAUCACAAUAAAUUUUUUUAUAUCAGUCGAUAUCGAUAAUUAUCGCGAUAAAUGUCAAAUCUUUAUUUCUUUCAAGUUUAAAGGCAGAUUUUUGCUCCUAAGUGAAAGUUGUAGAAAGCAGAGCAUUAAUUGUGGUUUUAAACUACUCUUUAUUGUCAGAACAUAUCAUGAUAAACAUGUGAACAUUUCGAUUCGUUCCGCUUUUGGCGCAUAAACAUCGAACAUUUAUUGAACUCUUGAUAUCGUUUUAUCGAGAAAAAUUAUAUCACGAUAAUUAUCGUUAUCGCUUUAUCGCCCAGCCCUACUUUCCAAUUACAUUUGAACUAAUAACGCUUAAUUAUCUUCUAUCCUUCAUUAAGAAGUUUCAAUGGACUGCACUGAGGUCAGGGAGAGAGAAUCUCUUGUGUGAGUCAGAGAAGUCAGGGAGAGUAGUCAGCAGGGACCAGCUCUCUCCAAGAACAUCAGGUCUAGACCAAAAGACAGAACUGAGGAUUUUCAAUCUAGCACACAACAUAAUUAUUGACAGUAUUGUCUUUGAACGAUUUUGUGACCGUAAUAAUGACCUAAUCAUAACUUGUAUUUUUGACCGUUUUUUUUUUUUUGUCAGUGCAUUUGUCAAUGUUAUAUUUUGUUGUUUUCAUUUCUAGAGCAGUGAUGCUGUCCUGAGGUCUGACGUCGGCCCACCUGAAGUUGUCCUGGAUCUACUGACUAAGCCUUCAGCACAAUCAUCUCCAGCCUUUGACCAUGAUGGAAAUGUGUUGGUCUACAUCGCUGGAUACAUCGCUGACAAGGUUCUGGGAAA